UUAAAACAGAGAAAGCAGGAGCAGGAGGCGGAGAGAGAAGCAGAGAGGAAAGAGCCUGAAGGACACAGAAAGGAUUACUUCUCGUACUGGGGACUAACGCUUCUCUUCAAAUAAACCAAAGGCAUUUUGGAAAACUUAGAAACAUGCAGGGAUGGUGAUUAAUUGGGAUAAGCGGAAGCUUUCAGUUAGUGUGAUGGACAAAUUUCUGUCAUGCCCUCCCCACACAGGCAGUUCCAGAUUUCUCUACUCCAUCGUCCUAUGGGAAUGGAAUAUCAAAGAAGAAUAUGACGGAGUUGGAAAUACACUCGAUAUUUAGGCGGCUGCACCUGGCAUAAUUCGCUGGCUGGGUGUGGUUGUGCAGUGAAUGUAUACAUUGGCUGCCAUUUUCUACCCUAAAUUCUAAAGAGUGGAUGGUGGACCGAAAAGCAGCGUUCUCACUGGUGUGAGAAAGUCACUUAGUGCAAAAGUAUCAGAAACCACUGCUCAUCCACCAGGGAACCCAUGGAUGGGAAGACAUCCUGUGAUUGAUAAAGGUGAGAAAAGUGAUGCAGAUGAAGAGUCCAGCUGGUAAAGAUUUGUGAACCUUCUGUUACAGAAUUGUAGAGAUGUUUCUGUUCCUCCUAGAAUUUCUGGAAUGCCACAUACAAUUAGAGAUUAUCCUGUUGUAUUCAAACAAUAGCACAUUGUUCCCCACAUAGAUUAUCUCUCUUAGUGUAUGUGGCUCCUUGUGGCACAGGUAUUUAUAGCUUUAAAUGCCAAGGGUGUCUCCCUCUUGACCAACUCAUCACCAUUCUUUUGAAAUCCCUUCUCUGGCUCACCAUCAGAUUGUGGUUGCAGUGCUACUUUGGAUUUCAAUGAUAAGCUUCCUGGCUAGGGAUUGGCAGCUUUUCUUUUCUUUUUCCUGUCCUAGAGGAGGUGGUUUUUUGUUUUUUUGUUUUUUUGUUUUUUUUUGAACAGGUUUCAAAUAUCACAAUUAGGGAUUAUUCCAUUUUAAAUGCCCUAUAAAAGCCAAUUGGAAAAUGCCAGGAAAAAAAUGUUCCAUUGAUGCAUGCCAGAUUACUUAAUAAUGAACACACAAAAAGAAGGACACCUGUUUCUCUCCAACCCCCUAAUCUAUUUAUGAUUUGGGAAAUUUGACAAGAAAACAAUGUCCAGGCAUUAGAGCCUCUGAAAUUUCCAUAUUGGCCUCCUCUGGAAAAAAAUAGCUUUGACGGCUGUUGUUGUGGUUAAUUCUUAUCAUAUAACGUUAGCAGUGUCAAUGAUACACACUAAGAAUUAAGAGGCCUGCGUUCCUGUCCCAGUGCUGCAGGCAGCUCCUUGUGUACCUGGAAGCAGUUCGCUCAUUCAUAUAAGGCAGGUGGCAGGACUGCAUGAUGCCGGAGAACGUUCCAGGUCAGACAGUCUGUGGUUUUCUCUAAAACUGGAAUUGAUUAGAUGCUUGAUAUAUUUUCUUAGCUUUACAAAUUUGACUUUAGUAAAAGAUUGUAUAUUUGGCUCUGAUCUAAUAAAAGUGCAAUAUGUAAAAGAUUAGUUUUAUAUUCUGAGGCAACCCUGUCUGAAUAUUCCAUCAGAGAACUAUAUUCCUUCCAAAAUCCUUGUUUAUGAUCAGGGUUCAGGAGGGAGCAGUGAGGUGCUCUCCGGUGGAGUAAUGUACCUCUUGUCAGUUCCCAUGUCAGGUGAGGAGGAUCUUCUAGGGUAGCAGUGAUCAGAACGAAGAGGAAGAGAUGGGUGCAAGAAAUAUCUGGAAAUAAAUCAGCCAGACUUUGCCACUGUUGCCACAUCUUAGCUCACGUCCAAACCGUCCAUCUUGUUUCCUUUUCACCCCCUACACCCUAAUCCUCAGACUUCUCUCUCACAAACCCGACACAAGUGCGGUCUACCAGCCAGUCCUGCACGCCGCAUCUCGGCCACUCCUUGCUCUCACCUGGAGGGGUGUUCAGAGUGGUCUCUCGUUUUCCACCCUGUCCCGAUGCUGGUUCAUGUCCCACACAACAGUGAAAUGAUCUUUUGAAAAGUACAAGUUAGAACAUGUCACACUUCCAUGUAAAUCGCAGGAGCCUUUCCUCCGCACUGUGACGUAACAUGGCCCUGUGGCUCACAGCACCCACCCUUACCUUCCUCCUCCUUCUCCGGGAGUGCUCUGCCCACCCUGCGAACGGCUGGUUUCUUCUGACUUCAUCCAGUCUCAGGUGAAACCUCCUUUCUUCAAAGAGGCUUUUCCUGAGCUUCGUCCUUUAGGUCCUCCUAUCUCAGCGCCCUGUUUAUAUGCUCCGUAGCACUUAUUACAACCUAAUCUUUAUUUCCUUCUGUAUAAAAAGACUGGAUGACUCAGAAAAAGAGGCAGAGAAAAGAGGGAGGAAAUCACAGUGAAAUAUUUCAAGAAACGUUCCUAGAAAUGAUGACGAGAACACCACGCCUAGUGUUUUACUGGGAAAUUUCAAACCAUUAACGAUGAAAGGAAAAUUCUAAAAUCUUCCAGACAGGAGGGAAAAAAUGGCGUACCAAGAAUCAGGAAUCAGAAAGGCUUUGGACUUCUCAAGAGCAAAACCAGAGUGAGAAAACAAUGCAUGAAUGUACAGAUGCAGCAAAGACACAUUUAAUCAUCAUUAAUUAAAGGCCUCCAACUAUGAGAGGUGCUACAAGCCUAUGAAGAUACAGGAGGCUGGGCCCCUGACCCUCAGCUGUUUAUAUUUGAUGAGGAAGAUUCGCAGGCACACCGAUAUCUGUGGUACCAAUCAGAUUGCAGGAAGUGC